rnacentral:rRNA from 1 species
CCAAUAGCGUAUAUUAAAGUUGUUGCAGUUCAAAAGCUCGUAGUUGAACUUCGGGGUUUGCUCAUUGGUCAGGCUUAAUUGUCUGUACUGGUGGGAUAAAUCUCUACCUUCUGAGGAACUUUCAUGCCAUUUAUUUGGUGUGAUGGGAAAUCAGGACUGUUACUUUGAAAAAAUUAGAGUGUUUAAAGCAGACUAUCGUCUGAAUACAUUAGCAUGGAAUAAUGAAAUAGGACGGACUGAUUCUAUUUCGUUGGUUUCUAGGAUCACCGUAAUGAUUAAUAGGGAUAGUUGGGGGCAUUAGUAUUCAAUUGUCAGAGGUGAAAUUCUUGGAUUUAUUGAAGACUAACUACUGCGAAAGCAUUUGCCAAGGAUGUUUUCAUUAAUCAAGAACGAAAGUUAGGGGAUCGAAGACGAUCAGAUACCGUCGUAGUCUUAACCAUAAACUAUGCCGACUAGGGAUCGGACGAAGUUAAUUUUAUAAUGACGCGUUCGGCACCUUACG